rnacentral:tRNA from 1 species
GAAAAGUUAGUUAAAUAAUAACAUAAAAUUGUCAAUUUUAAAUUACUAAUUUAUUUAGUACUUCUCU